CUCUAUCAUUAUUUCCUUUUAUUUCCACAGUAGCCUCUGAAGCAACUGUGAUCAGCUCCCUUUUCUAGAUGAGGAAAAGAAUCAGAGAGGCUAAGUGACCAGCCAAGGUCACACAGCUAAUGUAUAGCAGUCUGGGAUUCAAAGGCAGGCCUUCCAAAUCCAAAUGCCACACACUUUCUGUGGCAUUAUAGCCCCUUCUCACAAGUGUGUUAGUUUUCCUAGAACUUAGACCCCUAAGCAAUUCUUAUAUUUGCUCCCCACCAACCUUCCCAUCCACCAAAAUUGAGGAUCCCCUUUCCAGCUUCAAAUAACAAUACUCUAGUGAUGCUGGUGAUUCACCUGGGCCUCUGUUUGAUGUGGGAAAAUGCUAGGCAAUGCGUUUGGACAUUGCAUUUUAUUUAAGCUAGUGUGAUUGAUUACAUAGUAUUUCUUAACUGCAUUAUGCCUGAUUCUCCUCUCAUUCUCUGGGCUCAGAGUGAAAGAAAGCGUCCCUCUGCAAACCCUUGGGUUUAUCCUCCUUGAUGGGGAGGACCUGGUUUAUACUUUUCAGUAAGCAGGUGAGAACGAGUGUCCUUGAAGCCAACAAGGGCAGGAUCUCUGACUCUCCUUCGCUUACCAGAUCUGCCUCCCAGCAUCUCUCGAAUCAGCCCAUGCCUCUCCUUCACCGUUGCCGCUGCACCAGUUCAAGCCACCUUGACUCUUGCUGGGAAAACACAGCAGCCCCUCACCUGGUCCCACGUGGCUGAGCAUCUCCUCCAAUUGACAGCUGAAUCUCAUCAGGCUGCCAUUCCACCCAGAUCCCUUCUGUGGGGCCCACUACAUGUAGUAAAUUACAGUGCCAGGUGUGAUGUGUGCACCUGUGUAGUCCCAGCACCUCGGGAGGCAGAGGUGAGAGGAUCACUGGAACCCAGGAGUUCAAGGCUGCAGUGAGCUAGGAUCGUGCCACUGCACUUCAGCCUGCGUAACAGAGCAAGACCUUAUCUAAAACAUAAAAUAAAAUAAUAAAAUAAAUUAAAUUAAAUAUAAGAAAAUAAAACACACAGUAGAAGGUGUGCUGUGGCCUCCGCAGCCUCCUUGGUCUGGCCUCAGCUGGCCUCACUGCCUCCUCUCAUACCAUGCCCCCCUCCUUACCCCAAGCUUAGGCCUCAUUUUCCUCAAAGAAGCCUGGGUCCUGUCUCAGAGCCUCGGGGCAUGCUUUCUUCCCUGCCCCUCGUUUCCACCCCAGUCACCUCCUGAUCCCUGUGCAUCCUUCAGAUCUCAGCUUGAGCACCAACCCUGAAGCCUGCAGCUGGAUCCCAUAAGUAUUUCCACAACACCCUGUACUUUUCCUACAUGCACCCCAGCAUCUUCAUACAAUAGGUGCUUAAUAAAUUGUCCAAUGACUGAAUCCUCACAAUAUCUCUAGAGAAGAUGGCAAGAUGCAGAGAGGAGGAGUCACGCCUGAAGCCACACAGCUGACAUCAGAGCCAAAGCAUGAGCCUCAGUCUCUCUGACCCAGAGCUACCACCCUUGCUGCCUUGGGAAGAAGGAAGCCCCCUCCUAUUCUAUCCUUGAGCUGCCUUGGCAAGGAGGGGCCCCUUGCUGCCGCCAUCCUCACAGGACACCAUCCACAUGAGGGGAUGGUGAGCUCCACUUCCACCUUUUCUACAUGUCUGCUCUUUAAACUGCACACGUUGAUUCAUUCAUUCAUUCAUUCAUUCAUUCCCUUGAUAUUACCAUUCAUUUAUUCAUCAAGUAUUUAUUGAGCAUAUUUAUCUGCAUGGCAUUGUGCUAAUCGUAAUCAUCAUAUUCACCACUGCUGAGCAGAACAGUCAGGGUGCUGCCCUCAGGGAGUUACCAUGUAGUAAAGGAGACAGAUGGAAUCACACAGAGGAAUGCACGUCUGAUUGUAGCCUGACUGGAGUGCCAUGAAGGAGACCAAGAGGGCAGGGUGAUGGAGAAAGCACAGGAUGAAGUUCUCGUCUUCCUUCCAACAGAAUCUCAGUUGCACUCAGUUGUUGCCCCCCUCGAACCUCCCUUGAGCCUCAGGAGAAACCACCCUGAUUCAGAGGUCCAGAGAAGACCUGACUAGCCCAAGGUAAUUCCGUCCCCUUGCCAGAGUGGCUUGGGCAGGGACACGGGACCUAUUUCAAUGAGGCCAAUGAGACAAAGGUAUUUCUGCUGGGGAGGCAGGGGCUUCAAGCAAAGGGUCUUGCUUGAAAGAGCCACCGGAAGAGGGCUCUCUCCUUCCUUAGGGUGUCACCGUGUCUGGAUGCGAUGCCUGGAAGUGCUACAGCCACUCGCGCCCAGCCUGAAGAUGAAACCAACCCCAAACACAGCCAAGCAGAGAGAUGGAAAGAACUAGGACCCUAAUUACACCACUGAGCAGCUAUAGCAACCAGUUCCAGAGCCCUCUGACUUCCCGCCAAAGUGAGAUGAUAAGAUACUGUUUAAUUUCUCUCUUUUAUAGCCAAACACACCAAAAUUGACACAGAGAUGUGAGCCAUACCUACUACUGUUACUGCUCCAUCCCUAGCUCCAACCACAGUGCAUGGUACAUGGUAGAGAGCCAACAAACACUUGAAGAAUGAAUGGUGCAUAUUGAGUGGGAUUUUCCAGAGGCAGACCUGGAGACAAGGCUUCAAGUGCGUGUGUUGUAUUAAGGAAAUGCUCCCAGGGGACAAUAGCAGAGUGGCAGAAAUGGGACAAGGGGGCCAGGGAGCCAAGAACAGAGAAUCAAUCGUCUAAACAGAGCCCCCUGUUUUUUGUUUCACCUGGGAGUAGCUUCUACCUGAUCCCCAGGGGAACUCUGGGAUGUCAGUGACGGCUCAGCAUUGCCCCUGAGGCAAGGGAGCUGGGCUUUCCUAAUCCCCCACUCCUCAGUCUCUGGCUAAGCGCUGUCCCCAGGGGACUUAAUCACCCAAACACUUCCCCAAGAGUGGCAUCUGCUGACCACUGGAGGCACUGGUACAGUGAAGCGACAGAAGGGAUCAGAGAGGGUCCAGGUGGAGCACAGCAAUGUGGCUGAAUAAUAACUAUAUUAAUUCAUAUAGUUAAUUCUCAAGCAAUGGCAAAGUGUAGGCAGCUUCUUGUCUGCAAACGUUUCCAUGAUAUCUCUCCUGCAGCCAGACGGGUCUUUUCCUGCCGCCUACACAGAAUGGCCAUGGAGCAUCCCCAACUCUUAUUAAAAUGGAAAAAAAAAAAGCCUUUGCAUUUCAAUCUAUUAUUGCACUUUAUGACUCAUCUUCAGGUUCUCUCUGCAAAACAUUGAAAGCCAGAUCAUAAUUUGAUGAUGAAAUAUUGAUUAUGCAUUUGUAUGCAGAGGUCUAUACUAUAUAGAUAGAAUUCCCACCCUGUAGUAUCUUCUAUUUUAAGUCAGUAUGAAGAUGGAUGUUCCCCCCAGGCAAAUUUUGAUAAGAUACUUGUGUCAAUACAAAAAGAGAUUAAUGCCAAUGUGAAUCAAUACCCGCUUAUUGGUUUGGGUUGCUUCUUCUCCACGCAGCAGCUGGCACCAAGAGGGGUUUCCAAACACCAGCGGCUCCCAGCCAAUCUGCAUAUUUCUUUAUUUAAAUCAUGAGAGUGGGAAGUGGCAAGGGAAUGGUGGGUUGGCAGGGGGCUGCCCACGCCCACUCCCAAAUUGAGAAGGGAAUGAAAAUAAAACAAACGCAACUUGUCAACAAAUCUGGGAGAAGCUUUAUUACCAUCAUUAGCAGUGUGCUUGUCCUCUGCUGCUUCCAAAAAGAAUAAACUUCAAAUGACAGAAGAAGAGCGGUCUCCAUCCUUGCUGGGUUCUCAGCGUACAGCAGGGACUGGGCUUAUCUUGACUGUGCAUCUGCUGUGUUUCCUGCCCAGCCCCCACUGCCACCUGCAAUGCCCUAUAUUUAGUGCUUCUUUAAAAUCUCAUUUAUC
rnacentral:lncRNA from 1 species